AAGUAAGCUCACUAUUCAAAUAGUCUAAGAGUGUCUUUUGUUUUCAUCCGAUCUAUCUUCUAUUAUACCAUUUUCCAUCUUUUCUCUUUGCUUGAUCUACACACACUUGCAUUUAUCAUUUUCAUAAAAUAUUGUUUAGUGUGGGCAGGGUGUGGUGAGAUGAAGAUUAUAAAUAUCCAUCAAUCUUCAGUGUUCCAUUUGCUCGAAAGAAACAUGAAAGCCAUGGCAUUGCUUUGCCAUUCUCCUCGCUCCCUACUGCCUUCUGGCCAGUUUUUCCUUGUAAAAAGGAAUGAGUUCUACCUAAGCUAACUGGUUUUGAUGCCAAAAGCCUCUGCGUCAUAUCCUUGAGCGCUGCUCCCACUCUGUGGUCUGAUAUCCUUGUGGCAAUGUCCCAGGUGGAUAAAACGUGGCACGACAAUUGGCACCAAUGAAUUACUCUUGGAGUAGCAAUUGCUGGAUGUGCCUCUUUUGUUGAGGUGAUUGGAUCUUUUGGCAAAAACCAGUGACUGCAAAGGAUGAGAGAAACGAUCAGAAAAACUGAAAAGCUGUAGGAGACCAAACACUAGUGUCUCCCCUGCUUCAGGGGACACCCACUGUCAGAGUGAACGACAAAGGUUAGAUUUGAACAAGCUUUCUUUCUUUCUUUCUCUUUCUUUCUUUCUUUCUUUCUUUCUUUCUUUCUUUCUUUCUUUCUUUCUUUCUGUUUCUCUUUCUUUUCUUUCCUUUCUUCCUACUUUUUCUUUCUCCUUCUUUCUUUCUCUUUCCUUCCUUCCUUCCUUUCCUUAUUCUUUCCUUUUUUUCCUUCUCUUUAUUUUUUCUUUAUUCUCUAUCUUGCUCUUUCUUUCCUUUCUCUGUCUCUGGCUCUUUUUCUUUUUCUCUCUUUUUUCUUUUCUCUCUCUGUGCCGCUCUCUUUUCUCUUUUUUUCUCCUUCCUUCCAUCCUUCCUUCCUUCCUUCCUUCCUCCUGUCCUUCCCAGAUAAAAAAUAUUAUCUGGUCAAACUGUCCCAUCUGUUUGGGACAAAGGAGAUCCACUGAGAUUUUGUACAAGACGUACAUUUUUAAAAAGGAAGGGGGGUAGAGGGCAGGAAAUCUUUCCGUUGGUGUCGUUCUGCUGAUGUCACCAUGGAUUCAGUGUUCAAGUCCACAGCCAGGCAAAACUCAAAUAAAUUUUCCUUUUUGCAAGCAGCUGCACUGUGAGUUCGCCUUCCAUUAGUAAAGGGACAAUGAAGGGAAGGCGAACCCCGCGUCCAAAACAUGGCCAAUGAAAGGACACUGGAAUGGAAGCCAGGAAUCCUGCUGUGGUGGAGAGGCAUAGACUCAUGAGUCCACCACAAUCGGAUACUUGCUUCUUUUUAACAGCCCUAUCAGCCGAGAGAAAUAAUGACUCCUGAAUCAUUUGACAGUAAAAAAGUUAAAAUGAUGUCUCAAUGGCGCUGCAUCAUGCCAGACGCGCGUGGAUGAUUUGAAGAUAUUAGCCUAACAAGAUGGAAGCAGGUUUAAAAUUUUACAUAAGAAGUUACCUUUUUCAGCUGGUCCUAUAGUACCCCUCCUCAGGAAUGUCUCCCCAGUGCAAGGACAAAGACUGAAGAGACUGCUAUAUUGAUGGACUCUCAAGCCAACUAUGAAGUUGAAACAAAGAAAGUGAUCACCUGAAGACACCUCCUCUGCUAAGAAACACCCCCAAAUUGUGCAGCUUCUGCCACUAGAACUCUCAGAACAAGAGACAAUCUUUUCAAGAAACAGAAAAACUCAAUAAUGACAUCUAGAUUUUCAUGAGCCAAGAACUUUCCCUUCCUCAUGUGUAUUCCUCUGUUUGUACUUAAAUUCAUGUGACAUUCAUUUUUUUCCUAGUAUGGAUAUGCUUAUUAAUGCACUUGUUUCAAAAUCCCAAAUUGCACAAAUGUGUUAAUAUUUUAAGAAACAAAAUGAAUCCUACAAGGAGAAUGAUUUUUAGCCACACAUAGGGUUGGAUCUUGAGAGUGACCUACAGAAUAAAAGUACUUUUAAAAUAAAGUAGUCAGAGGCUAUUCAAAGGGUAAAAUAAUCAUAGUACCACAUUGGUCCACUUGACACUAACCAAUCGAUCAUUUUUUUUUAAUCAAGAAAGCUAGAUUCUAUCAGAUAAAAUCACUGCUUCUAAAGAGUUUAAAUCUAGUUAGAAAAAGUUAUAGAAAUGUUUGCAAAGAUAAGUAACAGAUAGAGUCAGUAGAGGAUAAGAUCAAAAACAAAACCAAGCAAAAGAUGAGUUCAGGGGAGUUUGCCAUCAAGUUGGCAAAACUGACUUACUUAGGGAAGAAAGUUAUAAAACAGGAAAAUAUGAGAUGAACCUUGAGUGAUGUGGAAGAUUUAGAUAAAUGGAAAGGAAGGAGAAAAUGGAGUUCUUUAGGUGGUUGUAAUUGGAGGAGGAAAUGAAUACACACAUCUUGUUGACUUAAACCCAGACAUUCAGCAGCUCUCUAUACAUAUCUGGAAAAGACUGCACAGUCACCUCCUGUCUCUCACCCCAGGUAUUACUUAGAAUUAUUAUCAUAUUUCCCUUCCUUUAAAGUAAGUAAGGGUGAUUGGUGACAAUAUGGAGAACUAUGAUUUUUCCAUUAACCUAAUAAUAAUUGGUAUUUAUUGAGUUCUGUUAAGCAUUUUACAUAUUAACUCACUUAAGCCUUUCAACAGCCUUGCAAAAUAGGUAUUAUUAUCCCCAUUUUACAGGCAAGAAAACUGAGGUUUAAGUAACUUGCCGAAGUGCCAUAUACAGGGCUCACAUUCAGUAUUGCAGUUGCAAAGCUCAUGAUCUAUAGUGCCAAGUUGCAAUAUUGUAGUCAAUGUCACAAUUAUUACCCCUUUUUAUAUUCCUUGAUAUUUUUCCAUGGCAAACAAUUAGCUAUUUCAUUUAAUAAUCACCUAAAACUUUUCAGUCUUCUGAUUAAAAUUACGCUGGAGUGAUAGAAUGUAUUUUCAUGAUAGAAAUUGGGAAAAAAAAUGGGGAAUGAAGUUUAUCAGCAUUUCAGACUUGUUUUUUUUUUUUUUUUUUGCAAGACUUUGAUGAGAUUGUUCACUUUUGUCUAUGUAAAAUCCCAAAUCCUUGAGAAUAAAAAAGGGGGAGGUUUAAGUCACUUGUUGCAAUGCCCUUUUUAAUAGAGGCAAUAAAUCUAAAGGCCAUAAAUUUAGAGUGACUUACAGAAGAUCGAACUUUGGAGUGUGGCAGAGUAAGGGAUGGAAACCGGGCCCUCCAGUUCACUAUCAGUAGCUUUUGCACUGGUCUGCCCUUCCUAAAUUAAGUAUGCACUUCAAUUUGAUGAGUGGAAACAGUCUAUCUGGGCAGUAACCAGGGAGCUUUGUGCCUAGUAGAUUGCUUCUGUUCUGCACUUCUUUGGUUUCCCACCUCAAUGUAAAAAAUAGCUAGCAAUGAAGUCCAGAAGUUGUCAAUGGUUCAUCCCCAGAAGAAUGCAUAAUGUCCAAAGUUGUAUGUGUAUGAUGUCUUCAAUGGUAUUAAGUUAUUUCAAAUUCUUAGUUCACCUACAUAAAUCAUUUCUAACAAGCAUCUUCUUAACCAACUUUAUGCACAGUGUAUGUUUGUAAGUGCUUCUGCACGAAUGUUUAUACAUGACUGUUUCCAUAGUACUUAUGUUUUUAAAAAUAUUCAGUCAUUUCCUACUAUAAUCCUCAUGUAUCCAUGUAACUGACUCAAAAAUACUUCAGCCACAGAAAGCUAAAACUGAGCAAAUCUCAUUCUUCUUUUCCAUCCCCUUUGCAUGUGGCUGGCAUUUAGUAAUGAUUAAUAAUAUGGCCAGCUGAAUAACAGAGGUUUGAGACACAAUUCUUUCUCAAAGGAGUCAGCUAAGCUGGGUCUACUUAUGGACAAACAUCUAAAUGUGUGGAAGUAUCUGAUAUUUGACAAUGGUAAAUUUCCACUUAGCUAGCUAGCAUUGUCAGACUUCAAUCUCCUCAUGGCUCUGGCCGUCCUGUUUUAAGCAUGAUAAUUGUUGGCCACAUCUCACAUAGUUCUCAUUGAGUGAGUUCAUAAAUAAACAGGGUUUUUUUUUUUUUUUAAAGAGCAGCCAAGCACAAAGUGUGACUUUGUUGACAUUUUAUGUGACUUUGUCAUAUGUUCCUAACCCCCAAUAAAAGCAAUGUUGCAUCAACUGUGAA
rnacentral:lncRNA from 1 species